rnacentral:rRNA from 1 species
GAUGAACGCUGGCGGCGUGCCUAAUACAUGCAAGUCGAGCGAACGGACGAGAAGCUUGCUUCUCUGAUGUUAGCGGCGGACGGGUGAGUAACACGUGGAUAACCUACCUAUAAGACUGGGAUAACUUCGGGAAACCGUAGCUAAUACCGGAUAAUAUUUUGAACCGCAUGGUUCAAAAGUGAAGACGGUCUUGCUGUCACUUAUAGAUGGAUCCGCGCUGCAUUAGCUAGUUGGUAAGGUAACGGCUUACCAAGGCAACGAUGCAUAGCCGACCUGAGAGGGUGAUCGGCCACACUGGAACUGAGACACGGUCCAGACUCCUACGGGAGGCAGCAGUAGGGAAUCUUCCGCAAAGGGCGAAAGCCUGACGGAGCAACGCCGCGUGAGUGAUGAAGGUCUUCGGAUCGUAAAACUCUGUUAUUAGGGAAGAACAUAUGUGUAAGUAACUGUGCACAUCUUGACGGUACCUAAUCAGAAAGCCACGGCUAACUACGUG